ACGGAGGAUCCAAGCGUUGUCCGGAUUUAUUGGGUUUAAAGGGUGCGUAGGCGGAUCUUUAAGUCAGUGGUGAAAGCCUGCAGCUCAACUGUAGAAUUGCCAUUGAAACUGAAGAUCUUGAAUUUGGUUAAAGUAGGCGGAAUGUAUCAUGUAGCGGUGAAAUGCUUAGAUAUGAUACAGAACACCGAUAGCGAAGGCAGCUUGCUGAACCAAUAUUGACGCUGAGGCACGAAAGCGUGGGGAGCGAACAGG
rnacentral:rRNA from 1 species